rnacentral:misc_RNA from 1 species
GAUGAAGAACGCAGCGAAAUGCGAUAAGUAAUGUGAAUUGCAGAAUUCAGUGAAUCAUCGAAUCUUUGAACGCACAUUGCGCCCGCCAGUAUUCUGGCGGGCAUGCCUGUCCGAGCGUCAUUUCAACCAUCAAGCCCCGGGCUUGUGUUGGGGACCUGCGUCCGACGCAGGCCCCGAAAACCAGUGGCGGGCUCGCUGUCCACACCGAGCGUAGUAGCUAACCUCGCUCCGGAGUGGCGCGGGCGCCUGCCGUAAAACCCCCCCAAUUUUACAAGGUUGACCUCGGAUCAGGGAGGAAUACCCGCUGAACUUAAGCAUGUCAAUAAGCGGAGGA